UGGGGAAUAUUGCACAAUGGGGGAAACCCUGAUGCAGCGACGCCGCGUGAGCGAUGAAGUAUUUCGGUAUGUAAAGCUCUAUCAGCAGGGAAGAAAAUGACGGUACCUGACUAAGAAGCCCCGGCUAACUACGUGCCAGCAGCCGCGGUAAUACGUAGGGGGCAAGCGUUAUCCGGAUUUACUGGGUGUAAAGGGAGCGUAGACGGCGGUGCAAGCCAGAUGUGAAAGCCCGGGGCUCAACCCCGGGACUGCAUUUGGAACUGUGCUGCUAGAGUGUCGGAGAGGCAGGCGGAAUUCCUAGUGUAGCGGUGAAAUGCGUAGAUAUUAGGGGGAACACCAGUGGCGAAGGCGGCCUGCUGGACGAUGACUGACGUUGAGGCUCGAAAGCGUGGGGAGCAAACAGG
rnacentral:rRNA from 1 species